rnacentral:rRNA from 1 species
UACGUAGGGGGCUAGCGUUGUCCGGAAUCAUUGGGCGUAAAGCGCGCGUAGGCGGCCCGGUAAGUCCGCUGUGAAAGUCAAAGGCUCAACCUUUGAAUGUCAGCGGAUACUGCCAGGCUAGAGUCCGGAAGAGGCGAGUGGAACUCCUGGUGUAGCGGUGGAAUGCGCAGAUAUCAGGAGGAACACCAGUAGCGAAGGCGGCACUCUGGGCCGGUACUGACGCUGAGGAGCGAAAGCGUGGGGAGCGAACAGG